UACGUAGGGUGCAAGCGUUGUCCGGAAUUAUUGGGCGUAAAGCGCUCGCAGGUGGUUCGAUGCGUCGUGCGUGAAAGACCCCGGCUCAACUGGGGAGGGUCGUGCGAUACGGUCGAACUGGAGGCCAGUAGGGGGAUGCGGAAUUCCUGGUGUAGCGGUGAAAUGCGCAGAUAUCAGGAAGAACACCCGUGGCGAAGGCGGUUCUCUGGGACGGUACUGACGCUGAGACGCGAAAGCGUGGGGAGCGAACAGG
rnacentral:rRNA from 1 species